UGGGGAAUAUUGCACAAUGGGCGAAAGCCUGAUGCAGCGACGCCGCGUGAGGGAUGACGGCCCUCGGGUUGUAAACCUCUUUCAGCAGGGACGAAGCGCAAGUGACGGUACCUGCAGAAGAAGCACCGGCUAACUACGUGCCAGCAGCCGCGGUAAUACGUAGGGUGCAAGCGUUGUCCGGAAUUACUGGGCGUAAAGAGUUCGUAGGCGGUUUGUCGCGUCGUUUGUGAAAACCAGCAGCUCAACUGCUGGCUUGCAGGCGAUACGGGCAGACUUGAGUACUGCAGGGGAGACUGGAAUUCCUGGUGUAGCGGUGAAAUGCGCAGAUAUCAGGAGGAACACCGGUGGCGAAGGCGGGUCUCUGGGCAGUAACUGACGCUGAGGAACGAAAGCGUGGGUAGCGAACAGG
rnacentral:rRNA from 1 species